rnacentral:rRNA from 1 species
AGAGUUUGAUCCUGGCUCAGGAUGAACGCUGGCGGCGUGCUUAACACAUGCAAGUCGAACGGUCGCAAGACAGUGGCGGACGGGUGAGGAACACGUAGCUCAUUUGCCCUCAAGUCUGGGAUAACGUCUCGAAAGGGAUGCUAAUACCGGAUAAGCUCACGAGGAGUAGGUACUUGUGAGAAAAGGUUUACUGCUUGAGGAGAAGGCUGCGGCCUAUCAGGUAGUUGGUGAGGUAACGGCUCACCAAGCCGACGACGGGUAAGGGGUCUGAGAGGAUGACCCCUCACACUGGGACUGAGACACGGCCCAGACUCCUACGGGAGGCAGCAGUGAGGGAUAUUGCGCAAUGGGGGAAACCCUGACGCAGCGACGCCGCGUGGGUGAUGAAGGUCUUCGGAUCGUAAAGCCCUUUUCUGCAUGACGAGCAAGGACGGUAGUGCAGGAAUAAGCCUCGGCUAACUACGUGCCAGCAGCCGCGGUAAUUC